rnacentral:lncRNA from 12 species
UGGGGUUAGACAGUUCUGGAAUGUGCGCAGAGGAGUGGAGUCACAUGGUGAUUAUGAGCCAUUCCUUACAUCCCUUUAAACUUUGGAGCCUAAGAAGUCAAUAGUUUGGUUAUACGUCUGAGUUUGGUUGUACGGAGUUUGGAAGACAAGAAGAGGUCUCCCUAUACAGUCCCCACUUUGAAAUUCCCGUUUGUAGUCUCCAGACCUCAAAAGUCAGUGGUCUCACAGAAGAGCCCAGGAGUCAUUGGUUUCCCGCUUUUGGCCCAAGCUCCCGGCGUAACGAAUGCUAACGCAGAACCCUCCGCCGACAGCCGCUGCGUCCCGUCCCCCGCUGGUCUAGUCGCCCGCCGCCAACCCCGGGGGCGGGCGCUGCGCCAGGGCUUCGGGACCCAGUGCCAGACCCAGAGCGCCGCCGGGCACCCGAGGGUGACAGCAGGAGAGAAGAGGUGAACACUGGAAAAACAUGACUGAUUCUGUGCAACUUGGAAAAGGAAAAGUCAUCAGCAAGUCCCAUCCUUACCACACACAAAUACAUUACAGAGAGGGCCAAGCUGGAGGUGGUGUUGUUGACAGAAACAUUGUAAGCAGAGAAGGUGAAUCAAUCCAUGGAGUAUCCCUAUCACACUGGAUGAAGUUUACAGACUUCUUCAAGGUCACUGGGCGCUGGAUGCCACUACCAGAUGCUUUCGUGUUGGGGCCACUCAGCCCUCUCCCAGAAGCUUACCAGGGACAGAUCGUGAACACCCUGAAUCUGGAGUCUGCAAUUUGGCAUUGGUUUUGGCUCACUCAUAAGAUCCUGGCUCCCGUGUGCCUCUCCCAAGGAGGAAAGCGCACAGCCGACUGA